UGUGUAAGCGAAGCGAUAUGUGGAGCGGUGAAAGGCUCAGUAACGGGCGAUUUAUUUGAUCUCCUGGGACGGACAACAUCGGGAAACUGAUGGGAAAACGUCUAAGUUGCAGUUUUUUGAUUGUGACGUAAACCUUUGUGUGCAGGAGAGUAAGAUGCCAUCCUAUCAGUUAGUAAGUAGGGUAAGGGCCUACUUAGACGAAGACGGGUACGGGGAAUGAGGGUUUGAUUCCGGAGAGGGAGCCU
rnacentral:rRNA from 1 species